rnacentral:rRNA from 1 species
UUCCGGUUGAUCCUGCCGGACCUGACUGCUAUUGGAGUAGGACUAAGUCACGCUAGUCAAAGGUGCGGAAUGGAGCACCUGGCGUACGGCUCAGUAACACGUAGUCAACCUACCCUAAGGACGAGGACAACCACGGGAAACUGUGGCUAAUACUCGAUAAGAAAUUUGGCCUGGAACGGUAUCUUUCACAAAACCGGCUCGCCGUGAGACACGGGCCUUAGGAUGGGGCUGCGGCCGAUUAUGCUAGAUGGCGGUGUAAAGGACCACCAUGGCUACGAUCGGUAUGGGCGAUGGAAGUCGGAGCCCAGAGUCGGCUACUGAGACAAGGAGCCGAGCUUUACGAAGCUUAGCGGUCGCGAAAACUCGCCAAUGCACGAAAGUGUGAGUGGGCUACUCCAAGUGUCAUUCUUACGGAUGACUGUCGCUCAGUCUUACCAGCUGAGAAAGGAAGGAGAGGGCAAGGCUGGUGCCAGCCGCCGCGGUAAAACCAGCUCUUCGAGUGGUCAGGACGAAUAUUGGGUCUAAAGCGCUCGUAGCCGGACAAGUAGGUUCUUGGUUAAAUCCGACAGCAUAACUGUUGGUCUGCUGGGAAUACCGCUAGUCUUGGAAGCGGGAGAGGACAGAGGUAGUCAUGGGGCAGGGGUGAAAUCCAGUGAUCCCAUGGCGACCACCGAUGGCGAAGGCAUCUGUCUGGAACGUAUUCGACGGUGAGGGGCGAAAGCUAGGGGAGCGACCCGGAUUAGAUACCCGGUUAGUCCUAGCCGUAAACGAUGCGGACUAGGUGUUACAGCGGCCAAGAGCCACUGUAGUGCCACAGCGAAGGCGUUAAGUCCGCCACCUGGGGAGUACGGAUGCAAGUCUGAAACUUAAAGGAAUUGACGGGGGCGCACCACCAGGAGUGAAGCCUGCGGUUUAAUUGGAUUCAACGCCGGG